rfam:Schistosoma rodhaini strain Burundi genome assembly, scaffold: SROB_scaffold0005768
GCUCUGCUGAGGAGUCCCACAAUAGGACGAAAUGGCCGUCUCGUGC